UACGGAGGAUGCAAGUGUUAUCCGGAAUCACUGGGCGUAAAGCGUCUGUAGGUGGUUUGAUAAGUCAACUGUUAAAUCUUGAAGCUCAACUUCAAAAUCGCAGUCGAAACUAUCAGACUAGAGUAUAGUAGGGGUAAAGGGAAUUUCCAGUGGAGCGGUGAAAUGCGUAGAUAUUGGAAAGAACACCGAUGGCGAAGGCACUUUACUGGGCUAUUACUGACACUCAGAGACGAAAGCUAGGGUAGCAAAUGGG
rnacentral:rRNA from 1 species